UCCCCUUCCUGUUUAUAUGAUCCCUUCAAGUAUUGGAAGGCCACAAUGAGGUCUCCCCGGAGCCUUCUCUUCUCCAAGCUAAACAAGCCCAGUUCCCUCAACCUUUCUUUCAAAUGAGCUGCUGCAGGUUGGUCUACUACCAUCUCUAGUGCUCAGUUCUGCAGUGUGCAGAUCUUCUGUGUCCCCAUGGCCCUGAUGUUAACCAAGUACCCUCCAGAUCCCAGGUAAGCUCUUCUCUUCUGGGGGCUCACCGGCUUGAGGAUAUUCAGCAGAAAUCCUGGUAGGCAAAGUUGGGUGCACAAGUAGCUCUGGGUAUGCAAGUGCAAAAUGUUACAGAAUCAAGGCAGAAAGGAAAAAAAUAAUUUCUUGUGCUCUAAUUUCACUUAAUGAGAAACCAUUCACAUUUUACAAUUUCUGAUCUGUAUCUUUCUAUUCCUAUUCUAAUGGUAAUUAUUAACAGAGAAAUCAUUUGAUGGCUUUCACAUACCCCCAUACUUCAAGUAUCUAACAACCUAUUGAUUCGAUAGCUGGGCAGCAUUCCCAAUUGAGGAGCUGCAGUUUGAUUUUUUUUUUUUUUUUUAAACACUUUGAUCAUCUCGCAUGCGAAGGAUAAUUAUUUUUGUGGUUGAAACAAGGGAUGGAUUGCAGAUCAAUGGAGUCUGGAGUAUGCUCCUGUGUGCAAUCCCCAGUCGGAACAAGUGGUGUCUGCAUCUUCUCAUAGAAAGAUCUUGAAAAAUUACCCGUGGGUUGGAUUUCUGAUCACUACUGUCAGCUAUGGAAAGGUGUAACAUGCAGGUGAUCACAGAAGUGAUCUGACAAAAGACAAUAGCAGUAUUUGAUGCUAUGACCAUAUCUUUAUUUUUCCUGACUACUGUACAUACUGGUGCAGAAAACUUGGAUGCUGCAAGAGGUCCUGGAGGACUCCAACGAGUGCUGAGUGAGUCUGCAGUGGUGCACAGAUCCAGCUGUGGUCCUCCCCCUGCAGAACAUCAUGGGCUCUUCUAGAGGAGAGGAGUAUGAUGGACAAGGGAGAUUUGCUCUAAACAGAAAGGCUCUGGCACUUCAUGCUUUCCCUAGGACAAGGCUUGAGAAUGAUCACCCACUGGCUGCCCCUACACAUGAAGGAGGCUGCACACAGCUGCUGUGAUUUGUGGUUAUAAAGUGGCACUGAAGCAAACUGAGAAUUAGGUAUGAACCUCCCCAGGAGGAAACACUGCUUUUCCAGCUCCGCAUGUUUUUCUCUUUUUUCUUCUCAUUCCCACUCUGCCCAGGACAGCUGUUCAGUUUCACUGCAGCUGGGGUUUUC